UAGAUACCCUAUUAUUCAAGGUUCGUCUCCUAAGGUAGUAGUUGUUAUUCUCUUGAAACCUAAAGAAUUUGGCGGUGUCAACUAAAAUCAGAGGAACCUGUUAACUAAUAGAUAAUCCACUCUAUCUCUUACUUAAAAUCAGUUUGUAUACCGUCAUCUAUAAUAAUUUUUUAAGAUAUUAAUUUCUUUGUUUAAACACAAAAGUUAGAUCAAGGUGCAGCUUUUCAAAGUUCAUAAUGGGUUACAAUUUAAAUCAGAAUGGCUAUCUUUUAUUAAAAAAUUUUAAAAUUGGAUUUGAAAGUAAUUUUUAGUUUAAUAAGCUAAAAUGAGUUAAUUUAAGACAUGUACACAUCGC
rnacentral:rRNA from 1 species